CCUGGUUGAUCCUGCCAGUAGUCAUAUGCUUGUCUCAAAGAUUAAGCCAUGCAUGUCUAAGUACACGCCCUAGCAAGGCGAAACCGCGAAUGGCUCAUUAAAUCAGUUAUGGUUCCUUAGAUCGUACACAUUUACUUGGAUAACUGUGGUAAUUCUAGAGCUAAUACAUGCAAUUGAGCCCUCGUCCCUUUUAGGGUGAGGGUGCUUUUAUUAGACCAAGACCAAACGGGGGCAACUCCGAUAGUCGUGGUGACUCUGAAUAACUAUGGCGGAUUGCACAGUCCUAGCACUGGCGACGCAUCUUUCAAGUGUCUGCCUUAUCAACUUUCGAUGGUAGGUUAUGCGCCUACCAUGGUUGUUACGGGUAACGGGGAAUCAAGGUUCGAUUCCGGAGAGGGAGCCUGAGAAACGGCUACCACAUCCAAAGAAGGCAGCAGGCGCGCAAAUUACCCACUCCCGGCACGGGGAGGUAGUGACGAAAAAUAACAAUACGGGACUCUAACGAGGCUCCGUAAUUGGAAUGAGUACACUCUAAACCUUUUAACGAGGAUCUAUUGGAGGGCAAGUCUAGUGCCAGCAGCCGCGGUAACUCUAGCUCCAAUAGCGUAUAUUAAAGUUGCUGCAGUUAAAAAGCUCGUAGUUGGAUCUCAGUCGCGCUCCCUUCGAUGCGUUGCAAAGCGCCUAUCGUUGGGGCCGACAGCACGUUGGUGGGCCCGGUUGGCUUUUACCGGUUGAUCGGGUUCUCCGGCAAUUUUACUUUGAAAAAAUUAGGGUGCUCAAAGCAGGCUGGUGCCUGGAUAUUGGUGCAUGGAAUAUCACACACACACACACAAAAGCCUUUAUUAGGGACUUGCCCCA
rnacentral:rRNA from 1 species